rnacentral:rRNA from 1 species
UACGUAGGGUGCAAGCGUUGUCCGGAAUUAUUGGGCGUAAAGAGCUCGUAGGCGGUCUGUCGCGUCUGGUGUGAAAACUCAGGGCUUAACCCUGAGCUUGCAUCGGGUACGGGCAGACUAGAGUGCGGUAGGGGAGACUGGAAUUCCUGGUGUAGCGGUGAAAUGCGCAGAUAUCAGGAGGAACACCCGUGGCGAAGGCGGCUCUCUGGGACGGUACUGACGCUGAGACGCGAAAGCGUGGGGAGCGAACAGG